rnacentral:rRNA from 1 species
GAUGAACGCUGGCGGCGUGCCUAAUACAUGCAAGUCGAGCGAACAGACGAGGAGCUUGCUCCCCUGACGUUAGCGGCGGACGGGUGAGUAACACGUGGAUAACCUACCUAUUAUACGGGGAUGACUUCGUGAAACCGGAGCUAAUACCGGAUAAUAUAUUGAACCGCAUGGUUCAAUAGUGAAAGACGGUUUUGCUGUCACUUAUAGAUGGAUCCGCGCCGCAUUAGCUAGUUGGUAAGGUAACGGCUUACCAAGGCAACGAUGCGUAGCCGACCUGAGAGGGUGAUCGGCCACACUGGAACUGAGACACGGUCCAGACUCCUACGGGAGGCAGCAGUAGGGAAUCUUCCGCAAUGGGCGAAAGCCUGACGGAGCCACGCCGCGUGAGUGAUGAAGGUCUUCGGAUCGUAAAACUCUGUUAUUAGGGAAGAAAAAAUGUGUAAGUAACUACGCACGUCUUGACGGUACCUAAUGAGAAAGCAACGGCUAACUACGUG